CGUCAUUUAGAGGAAGUAAAAGUCGUAACAAGGUUUCCGUAGGUGAACCUGCGGAAGGAUCAUUAGUGAAUUAAACAUGCUUGGUGUCUUCGCUUCGGCAAGGCCCUUGCUUAAAUCACAUCCUAACACCUGUGAACUGUAAGACGUAUGAUGAGGUCUUUGGCCAAGUCAUCGUCUGCCCAUUUUUAACAAACAAUUAAUGUAACAAACGUAGUCUUAUUAUAACCUAAUAAAACUUUCAACAACGGAUCUCUUGGCUCUC
rnacentral:misc_RNA from 1 species